AGUGAACGCUGGCGGUAGGCCUAACACAUGCAAGUCGAACGGCAGCACAGUAAGAGCUUGCUCUUACGGGUGGCGAGUGGCGGACGGGUGAGGAAUACAUCGGAACCUACUUUUUCGUGGGGGAUAACGUAGGGAAACUUACGCUAAUACCGCAUACGACCUACGGGUGAAAGCAGGGGAUCUUCGGACCUUGCGCGAUUGAAUGAGCCGGUGUCGGAUUAGCUAGUUGGCGGGGUAAAGGCCCACCAAGGCGACGAUCCGUAGCUGGUCUGAGAGGAUGAUCGGCCACACUGGAACUGAGACACGGGCCAGACUCCUACGGGGGGCAGCAGUGGGGAAUAUUGGACAGUGGGCGCAAGCCUGAUCCAGCCAUGCCGCGUGGGUGAAGAAGGCCUUCGGGUUGUAAAGCCCUUUUGUUGGGAAAGAAGAGCAGCAGGUUAAUACCCCGCUGUUCUGACGGUACCCAAAGAAUAAGCACCGGCUAACUUCGUG
rnacentral:rRNA from 1 species